CACGUAGGGUGCGAGCGUUGUCCGGAAUUAUUGGGCGUAAAGAGCUCGUAGGCGGUGUGUCGCGUCGGCCGUGAAAACCUGCAGCUUAACUGUGGGCUUGCGGUCGAUACGGGCAUCACUGGAGUUCGGCAGGGGAGACUGGAAUUCCUGGUGUAGCGGUGAAAUGCGCAGAUAUCAGGAGGAACACCGGUGGCGAAGGCGGCUUUCUGGGCCUUACCUGACGCUGAGACGCGAAAGCGUGGGGAGCGAACCGG
rnacentral:rRNA from 1 species